ensembl:lncRNA
GGAAGCGCGCGUUAGGGCGCGGCGGUGUAUGCAUGCAGGCACAAAACCUCUUUAUAGUCGGCGGUGGAGAUACCGGACCACUCCCCUCUUCUCGCCGUAACCGUACGAGCAUCCGGUGCGGAAAUGCAGCUUGUAACUCAAAUCCCGCGUUGCCAUGUUUCUGUCAGCGAGCAAAUUGAAGCAGAUUUGCUGGCCAUGGUGGAGGCAGGUGCCAAAGUGGAGCUGGCGAAGAAGCAGAUGGCCUUCCACUACUCGAACCUGCUGCUGGGCCUCGGACUGCCCCAGCAUCACCACAUGGCCUGUGGGAGGAGCAGAGCAUCAUCGACACACAAAGACAGGCAGCUAUUUGAAGUAAGUACAAGUUGCGCUUUGUUUUACGUUCGUGGCAAGGUAAUAACAUGGGCCGGAGUCAGACUGUUCGGAAAUGAGGUGGGCCCGUUUCGUCUUCGGGACCUUCCCACACAGCCCGCGUCAUUCAGUGUCUGUGAUGUCCUUGUACAGCACUUUCCGUACAGCCUCAGCCUCGGAUGUUUUCUCAAAAUCCGUUCUCUAACUUCUAUAUUUUUUUCCAUUUUUUCGUUGUUCAUCAGCUGAUUCCCCUUUUAAUGCUAAUCCACCUUUUCUGCUGUACGUUUGGUUUAUUCUUUAGCGUUUCGUCCUUCAUUCUAGUAUGCCGCCCAUCUCGGCAGAUGUUUAGCGGUGGCACGUGCCACCGGUUGAGCCGCAUGCCUGUCUUAGUGCCUCUACAGCUUCGCCUGCCUCGUGGCCUGGGUGACCUUUGGCAGGAAGGAGCUUGAGAGCAUCCAGGAGGAAGUGGGGAGGCUGCUACGUUCUGACACCUUCAACACUGUCUCAAGGGCCAGGGGGACAAACGGACAGGGUUCCUCUAUCGCCAGCAGCCUCCAGAAACAAGGAGAGACGGAGGUGCAAGAGCAGACCGCCCCGGUCCCAGGUCGAAGGAGGCUCAGACAGAGACCUGCCCUGAGCCGCAUGGUGAAGCAGCGCUCCCCGCUCAUGGUGACCCUCCUGCCCUUGCCCCGGGAGGCUGCCCCUCAUCUCUUUGUUGGAAGCCACCCCCAGAGAGGACCCCCGGCUUUGCCCUGUGACCCAGACGCUCUGAUGGAGCAGCUCUCCUCGCAGCUCAACUCCUUCUGCUUUGGCAUCCUGGGGAAGCCACGGAGUCAGUUCAGCAGCACCACUCUCAAGCCCCAGAGGAUGGAAAGCGGCGAGGAAGAAGAGGAGGAGGAGGAGCCGGAGGAGGAGGAAGCGAGGGCGGAGGAGGAGUUGGAGGAGGGGGGGAAACUGGCGGAGGAGGUGGAGCAGCAGGAGGAAGAGAAAGGUGAUGAAGAGGAGAAGGACGGGGAGGACGAAGCUGGGGAACGUGUGACAGACACCGUGUCCUCCAUUGUGGCUCAACAUCCGGAUGAACACAGCCAGAUGAACGUGGGGAUCCCUGCUGGGGAGCUUCACUCGGACAGAGAGUGAAAUCUACGGGAGGUGCGAGAGGGAGUAAUGCAUAAUGUUUCCGCUUCUGACACAGCAAGGAUAAUGGUGGGCUUUUUUUAAAAAGUAUUUAUUAAUUAAGAAAAAAAGAGAACACAGCUGGGUCACAGCAACAAGCAAGAGUCAGUAUACCAAAAAAUUUAAAUAAGUGCAGAGACAGGUACAGGUAGAUACAGACACAGAUACAGCAGAAGGGUAAAACGGUACAGUAUUUGGCAGAGGUGGUCAUGUAGCUCUAAGAAGCUCCAAAAGGUGACCAUAUCUCUCAGAACUCAUUAUAAUAAACAACCAAAUGCUCUGAUUUGUUACUUCUAU